AGGAUGAACGCUGGCGGAGUGCCUAAUACAUGCAAGUCGAGCGGCAACGCGAGUAGUUUACUACUUGGCGGCGAGCGGCGGACGGCUGAGUAACGCGUGGGAACGUGCCCCAAAGUGAGGAAUAACUGCCCGAAAGGGUAGCUAAUGCCGCAUAUGAUCUUCGGAUUAAAGGAUUUAUCCGCUUUGGGAGCGGCCCGCGUCAGAUUAGGUAGUUGGUGAGGUAAAGGCUCGACCAAGCCGACGAUCUGUAGCUGAUCUGAGAGGAUGAUCAGCCAGACUGGGACUGAGACACGGCCCAGACUCCUACGGGAGGCAGCAGUAAGGAAUCUUCCACAAUGGACGAAAGUCUAGAUGGAGCAACUCCGCGUGCAGGAUGAAGGCCUUACGGUGUAAACUGCUUUUAUUGUGAAGAAUAUAGACGGUAACAAAUGAAUAAGGUCGGUACUAACCGUACGUAGACCAAGCGAAGCCGC
rnacentral:rRNA from 1 species